UGGCUCAGUGGUAGAGCACUUGCCUUACAUGCAUGAGGCCCUGGGUUCAAUUCCUCAG
rnacentral:tRNA from 1 species